GUGAACGCUGGCGGUAGGCCUAACACAUGCAAGUCGAACGGCAGCACAGUAGAGCUUGCUCCUUGGGUGGCGAGUGGCGGACGGGUGAGGAAUACAUCGGAAUCUACUCUUUCGUGGGGGAUAACGUAGGGAAACUUACGCUAAUACCGCAUACGACCUUCGGGUGAAAGCAGGAGAUCGCAAGACCUUGCGCGAUUGAAUGAGCCGAUGUCGGAUUAGCUAGUUGGCGGGGUAAAGGCCCACCAAGGCGACGAUCCGUAGCUGGUCUGAGAGGAGGAUCAGCCACACUGGAACUGAGACACGGUCCAGACUCCUACGGGAGGCAGCAGUGGGGAAUAUUGGACAAUGGGCGCAAGCCUGAUCCAGCCAUACCGCGUGGGUGAAGAAGGCCUUCGGGUUGUAAAGCCCUUUUGUUGGGAAAGAAAAGCACACGGUUAAUACCCGAGUGUUCUGACGGUACCCAAAGAAUAAGCACCGGCUAACUUCGUGCCAGCCGCCGCCGUAAAAC
rnacentral:rRNA from 1 species